GUAAGAGUGUACGCCAUAUUAAAAAAAAAGUGUACGCCAUAUUUGCUUACUAGGUAUUUGUUUUGACUUGUUAUAUUUUGACCUACGUGUUGGCAUAUAAAUGAAUUAAUAAUAAAAUAAAAUGAACGCUUUGUUUUCCCAAGGAAAGACUGAUUUUAGGGCUUAUAAUAUUUUAUCCGGGAAAAAACGACGCCGAAAACGCAGACGUUUUAAUAGAAAGCUACAGAAAAUAUUAAAUAAAAAAUCAGUUUUAGCCUAUGCCAUUGCUACAUGGACGGAACAUUACAUAUCAGCCUCAGAUUGGCAAAACCAACAUCAAUUGGCAUAUUGUAAAGCAAGAGCAAAAGCUCUUCAAUAUGAAAAGAUAACUUCUACCAACAAUGUAUUAAAUAAGAAUUCAGAUGAUGAAGAGAAUCAUAAUGAUGACAACAUUGAAGUGAGUGCGGAAUUUUUACAAUUUCUUAAAACUAAUGCUAAGUUUAAAGAAGAUGCGAGGAGGGAACGGGAAAUCUUGAAAUCUAAUCUGGAAUCUCAGGCUAAUGACUUAAUAAGAACUGAGCCAGAUAUAAGCGAACCCAUGUCUAUUGAGCAGUGUCAAAAUAUGUAUGGUGAUAAGUGGCAACAGAUUUGUCCAUUGGAGAUGUUAUUGACAAAUCAUUAUGUGAAAAUUUGUGAAAAGUAUAAACCAGCACUUUGGCCAAAUAUACCAUUGAAUUUAUAAAGUAAAUUUAUUGUAUUCGACUUAUUUUUUUACAAAUACAAAUAAGUGCUAGUUGUAAUUUAGAUGAUUUUAUUAAUAUUACUUGUGACUUAUUGUAACUAUUCAUAUUAUUAGGUUACAUAGCAAAUAUUUGAAUCAUGAAACUCAUAUAAAUUGUCUAAAGUGCAAUAAGUAUUCUCUAUUAAAAAGAAAUAUGUUUAUAUUUAGACAUAAUAUAUUUACUGAAGUAUUAAAAUACAUAAUAUUGUAAUUGUAUUUAUAAUCAAAAUUUAUAAAAAAUAGACCUUGAGGGCACAAACUACUGGCUUGUUCUUGUAAUUGUUAAUUUCUUUGAAUAAAUUGUGUGCCUUACAUUAUAUUGUUUCUAGGAACUUUUGAUUACAUUUAUUAUUUCAUGUAUUAUCAAUAAUUGUAAACUAACUUUGAAACUGUUUGGAAUAAUUUGACUAUCUAUUUAAUGUAAUAAAAUUAGAUAUUAUUAUAA